GCCAACAAGGCCUUUACUGACGCUAAAGCUCGAAGGUGCGGGUAUCGAACAGGAUUAGAUACCCUGGUAGUCCGCACGGUAAACGAUGGAUGCCCGCUGUUUGCGAUAUACUGUGAGCGGCCAAGAGAAAUCGUUAAGCAUCCCACCUGGGGAGUACGCCGGCAACGGUGAAACUCAAAGGAAUUGACGGGGGCCCGCACAAGCGGAGGAACAUGUGGUUUAAUUCGAUGAUACGCGAGGAACCUUACCCGGGCUUGAACUGCAGGAGAAGGAUACAGAGAUGUUGACGCCCUUCGGGGCUCCUGUGGAGGUGCUGCAUGGUUGUCGUCAGCUCGUGCCGUGAGGUGUCGGCUUAAGUGCCAUAACGAGCGCAACCCUUUUCGCCAGUUGCCAUCAGGUGAUGCUGGGCACUCUGGGGAUACUGCCACCGUAAGGUGUGAGGAAGGUGGGGAUGACGUCAAAUCAGCACGGCCUUUACGUCCGGGGCUACACACGUGUUACAAUGGGGAGUACAGAGAGUCGGUCGCACGCAAGUACGAUCCAAUCAUGAAAGCUCUCCUCAGUUCGGAUUGGGGUCUGCAACCCGACCCCAUGAAGCUGG
rnacentral:rRNA from 1 species